rnacentral:rRNA from 1 species
CUUUACUAUAACUUGGUAUUGUGCCGUGAAUCAUGUUGCGUAGGAUAGGUGGGAGACUAUGAUGUCUGGAUUUUGGUCUAGGCGGAGUCAACGGUGAAAUACCACCCUUUAUGAUUUACUGCACUCACCCGCUAUUGCGGGGACAGUGCUUGGUGGGUAGUUUAACUGGGGCGGUUGCCUCCUAAAAAGUAACGGAGGCGCGCAAUGGUUGGCUUAGACCGUAUGGAAAUCGGUCGUGACGUGUAUUCGCACAAGCCAGCCUGACUGAGAGACCUACAAGUCGAUCAGAGUCGAAAGACGGUGAAAAUGAACCGGCACACACGAAUGGAAGUGGUGUCGAUCAACGGAUAAAAGUUA